AUUCCAGCUCCAAUAGCGUAUAUUAAAGUUGUUGCAGUUAGAACGCUCGUAGUCGGAUUUCGGGGCGAGCCUUCCGGUCUGCCGAUGGGUAUGCACUGGUAGGGUCGUCCUUCCUUCCGGAGACCGUUCCUACUCUUAACUGAGCGGGGUCGGGAGACGGAAUUUUUACUUUGAAAAAAUCAGAGUGUUUCAAGCAGGCAGCUCGCUCUUGCAUGGAUUAGCAUGGGAUAAUGAAAUAGGACUUUGGUGCUAUUUUGUUGGUUUCGAACACCGAAGUAAUGAUGAGAAGGGACAGUCAGGGGCACUCGUAUUCCGCCGAGAGAGGUGAAAUUCUCAGACCAGCGGAAGACGAACCACUGCGAAAGCAUUUGCCAGGGAUGUUUUCACUGAUCAAGAACGAAAGUUAGGGGAUCGAAGACGAUCAGAUACCGUCGUAGUCUUAACCAUAAACCAUGCCGACUAGGGAUUGGGGGAUGUUCACUGAUUGACUUCCUCAGCACCUUACGGGAAACUAAAGUCUUUGGGUUCCGGGGGGAGUAUGGUCGCAAGGCUGAAACUUAAAGGAAUUGACGGAAGGGCACCACCAGGUGUGGAGCCUGCGGCUUAAUUUGACUCAACACGGGGAAACUUACCAGGUCCAGACAUUGUGAGGAUUGACAGAUUGAGAGCUCUUUCUUGAUUCGAUGGGUGGUGGUGCAUGGCCGUUCUUAGUUGGUGGAGUGAUUUGUCUGGUUAAUUCCGUUAACGAACGAGACCUUAGCCUGCUAAAUAGUGACGCGAACACUUCGUUCGUGGGCCACUUCUUAGAGGGACAACUUGUCUUCAACAAGUGGAAGUUUGAGGCAAUA
rnacentral:rRNA from 1 species